GCUAGUAUCUAGCAAUUUGAAGUCUUACACCAGCGCGGAGUAGCUAGAGUGUACAACGUGACAUUCACAAUAUUUACCAAAAAUUCUCAGAGUGUGUGUGUUUUGUCGUAGCUAUUGAAAAGGAAAAAAUAAAAAAUAAAUUCCAUAAGAGAGCGGCACACGGCAGUACAGGUGUCCAGACCGGAAAAGGGCCACCCCCAUGCAAUUACCAAUUAGAUAACACACAGUUUGGUGGAUGUGUUCGUUUUACGUGUGUUGGCAGCUACGCAGCAACCAAAAAGUUUCUAGUCUCUGGUCGGAUUACAUUUUUUACGUUGAUACUUGAUGGUAGUUUUGCCUCAGCAUAAAAAUUCAAAUUUUUUUUAUAAAAAAUUGCGUAAUAGUGUUGCGCUUGUGAUUGGAAAGGCGUUUCAUUAAAAAAAAAGUUAGGAGGAAAGUGAAAAAUAAAAAUUCAAUUUAGUCAGGCCUUGUUUUUUAAAUCUAUCGACGCCGUCUUUCUGCUAUUCAUGUGUCAAGAUGGCCAAGAACGAUUGGUGGCGAAAGUGGAAAUAGCUUACUAGUCUGUGAACUAUGCCAUUCAAUCUCACCUGUCGCCCGGUUUGGUAGUGGAUAAGCAUGCGAACAGAUGCCAUGGAUCGGACGGGGAUUACGAGGAAAUUAUUAUCGAGAGAGUCAGCUCUGGUUUGGGAUUCAUCAUCUCGGGUGGACCUGACAAGCAGCACAUCUGCGAAGAUCAAGCCAUCAUUCUGACGAAGAUCAUCACGGGCGGUGCGGCUGCUAUCGUCGAACGAAUGAAGAUCAACGACGUCAUCUUGAAAGUGAACGAUGUGUUGGUGGUGAACGUUACCUAUUCAGCUGCAGUCGAAGCGCUCAAAAGGGCAGGAAACAUCGUCCGUUUGAGCGUAAGUAGACGCAGACAGCCACGAUCUCCUCGCAGAGUCGAAAUUGUGUAAGGGCAACAAAGGAAUGAUUUUCACCAUCACGUGCGUAUCGGGAAAUAAACAUAUUACCGGCGAUAAUGUAAUUUACAUUACCGGCGAUAAUGUGAAUGGCGGAGAUGCUAAAAUUGACGGGCGAAUAGCUUUCAGCGAAAAAUUGAUUCUCGUCAGGAAUUUACACGUACGUAACGUAAAAAUAACAAACAAAAACAGUGUUGAUACCAAAAAAAAAUUUGUCUACAGUUGUUGACGGAGAAAAAUCUAGAGAUAGUUUCGCACGAGGACGCCUUUUCGGCGCUAAAGUAAACAUUGGGUGUUGCAUUGGGUGUUGCAUUGGGACAUUUUCCAUUGGGCUGCAAUUUUGUUUCAGACCUCGUCACACUUGGAGCAGAAUUUGUCCAACGUGUAGUACCAUUUUAAAAAUGAUUGUUUAAAACUUAAAAUUGUUCCAUUUCCAAGGGAGAAGAUUGAGGGACAAGCAAAAAAAAAAUUAAAGAUAUUUUUAUUGCUCACAUCUUAAGAAAUUAAUGCAAACUGUUAAUUGUUAUAAUACUGU